GAUGAACGCUGGCGGCGUGCCUAAUACAUGCAAGUCGAGCGAACGGACGAGAAGCUUGCUUCUCUGAUGUUAGCGGCGGACGGGUGAGUAACACGUGGAUAACCUACCUAUAAGACUGGGAUAACUUCGGGAAACCGGAGCUAAUACCGGAUAAUAUUUUGAACCGCAUGGUUCAAAAGUGAAAGACGGUCUUGCUGUCACUUAUAGAUGGAUCCGCGCUGCAUUAGCUAGUUGGUAAGGUAACGGCUUACCAAGGCAACGAUGCAUAGCCGACCUGAGAGGGUGAUCGGCCACACUGGAACUGAGACACGGUCCAGACUCCUACGGGAGGCAGCAGUAGGGAAUCUUGCGCAAUGGGCGAAAGCCUGACGGAGCAACGCCGCGUGAGUGAUGAAGGUCUUCGGAUCGUAAAACUCUGUUAUUAGGGAAGAACAGAUGUGUAAGUAACUGUGCACAUCUUGACGGUACCUAAUCAGAAAGCCACGGCUAACUACGUG
rnacentral:rRNA from 1 species